GACGAACCGUGCAAACGUUAUUCGGAAUCACUGGGCUUAAAGGGCGCGUAGGCGGGUCAGAUAGUCUGCGGUGAAAUCCUCCAGCUUAACUGGAGAACUGCCGUGGAUACUGCUGAUCUCGAGGAGGGUAGGGGCAUCUGGAACAGCCGGUGGAGCGGUGAAAUGCGUUGAUAUCGGCUGGAACUCCGGUGGCGAAAGCGAGAUGCUGGACCUUUUCUGACGCUGAGUGCGCGAAAGCCAGGGGAGCGAACGGG
rnacentral:rRNA from 2 species